GUGAACGCUGGCGGUCGGCCUAACACAUGCAAGUCGAACGGCAGCACAGUAAGAGCUUGCUCUUACGGGUGGCGAGUGGCGGACGGGUGAGGACUACAUCGGAAUCUACUUUUUCGUGGGGGAUAACGUAGGGAAACUUACGAUAAUACCGCAUACGACCUACGGGUGAAAGCAGGGGAUCUUCGGACCUUGCGCGAUUGAAUGAGCCGAUGUCGGAUUAGCUAGUUGGCGGGGUAAAGGCCCACCAAGGCGACGAUCCGUAGCUGGUCUGAGAGGAUGAUCAGCCACACUGGAACUGAGACACGGUCCAGACUCCUACGGGAGGCAGCAGUGGGGAAUAUUGGACAAUGGGCGCAAGCCUGAUCCAGCCAUACCGCGUGGGUGAAGAAGGCCUUCGAGUUGUAAAGCCCUUUUGUUGGGAAAGAAAAGCAGCAGGUUAAUACCCCGCUGUUCUGACGGUACCCAAAGAAUAAGCACCGGCUAACUUCGUG
rnacentral:rRNA from 1 species